AUGAAACAUUGCUUUGAUAUCAGUCAUUAAAGCAACUGGUUCUUGUCUGAAUCUGAUGAGAACUCCAAUGAGUGAGUUGGUAAGGUCCAGACCCUGCAGCAGUUGGCAAGCAAGUUUUUUUAUC